rnacentral:tRNA from 2 species
GCCUGAAUAGUCUAGAGGUAGGAUUCAUCCUUCGGGUGGAUGAGGCCCGCGUUCGAAUCGCGGUUCAGGCC